rnacentral:rRNA from 1 species
AGCAGCCGCGGUAAUUCCAGCUCCAAUAGCGUAUAUUAAAGUUGUUGCAGUUAAAAAGCUCGUAGUUGAAUUUUAGGCCUGACCGGACGGUCCGUCUCUGGCGAGUACUGUUCUGCUGUCGGGUCUAUCCUUCUGGUGAGCCGGUAUGCCCUUUAUUGGGUGUGUCGGGGAACCAGGACCAUUACCUUGAAAAAUUAGAGUGUUUAAAGCGGGCUUUUGCUUGAAUAGAUUAGCAUGGAAUAAUAGAAUAGGACGUUGGUUCUAUUUUGUUGGUCUAGGACCACCGUAAUGAUUAAUAGGGAUAGUUGGGGGCAUUAGUAUUCAAUUGUCAGAGGUGAAAUUCUUGGAUUUAUUGAAGACUAACUACUGCGAAAGCAUUUGCCAAGGAUGUUUUCAUUAAUCAAGAACGAAAGUUAGGGGAUCGAAGACGAUCAGAUACCGUCGUAGUCUUAACCAUAA